UACGUAGGGUGCAAGCGUUUGUCCGGAAUUAUUGGGCGUAAAGAGCUCGUAGGCGGUUUGUUGCGUCGGCUGUGAAAACCUGAGGCUCAACCUCAGGCCUGCAGUCGAUACGAGCAGACUAGAGUGUUGCAGGGGAGACUGGAAUUCCUGGUGUAGCGGUGAAAUGCGCAGAUAUCAGGAGGAACACCGGUGGCGAAGGCGGGUCUCUGGGCAACAACUGACGCUGAGGAGCGAAAGCGUGGGGGAGCGAACAGG
rnacentral:rRNA from 1 species